GCCUGUAUAAAAACACCAUCAGGACAAGAUUUUGCAUCCAGUUUCUUAACUCAUCUCUUGAUCAAGGACUUCAGAGAGUUUGAUCAGCAACCAACUCAAGAUGUCUCUAACCCCAUUAGAAUCAGCAUUGCAAACUAUUGCCAACAUUUUCAACCAAUACAAGGAGGAUGGAAGGAAUCCUCCCACAGUCACCAAGGAAAGAAUGCAGAAGCUGAUGAAGGAUCAGCUCCCAAAUUUGAUACAGGAAAACAUCCCAGGGACUUCUGAGGAGAGACGCACAUCGGGAGAUUGGGAUAGGUUCCUGAAUUCUGUCAUUCAAGUGCUUGUUUCUAGAUACAGAUGAUUCUACAUCAAGCUGC